rnacentral:misc_RNA from 1 species
CCCAAAAUCUUUUAGAUCCCAGUUCAUACCAAUUUAAUGUUAAGUUUGCCCCCACAACUGAUCUCGAUUUCUAUUCUCAGCAUUAUAUUGGUGAUAUCUCAGAGUUGGAUGCAUUGGAAGGCUUUGCUAAAGGUUUUCCUGGUUUUUAUCAUAGAUCUGUGCAUAAGAUUUGUCUUGAUUUUUUGUUUGUUUCAGAGAAAGCAGUAUUCUAACAUGGCAUGUUCCUACCUUGUUUUCUUAUUUGUCUGUGUUGUCUCCUGCAUGUUCUACACAAAAUCUUUGUACCCACAAUCUUUGUAUUCUAACAUCGAUAAGUGCCCAAAAUCUUUGUAUGCUUCUAAACAGACCUUUGGUAUUGUUG